AUUGAACGCUGGCGGCAUGCUUUACACAUGCAAGUCGAACGGUAACAGGCCGCAAGGUGCUGACGAGUGGUGAACGGGUGAGUAAUGCAUCGGAACGUGCCCAGUCGUGGGGGAUAACGCAGCGAAAGCUGUGCUAAUACCGCAUACGAUCUAUGGAUGAAAGCGGGGGACCGUAAGGCCUCGCGCGAUUGGAGCGGCCGAUGUCAGAUUAGGUAGUUGGUGGGGUAAAGGCUCACCAAGCCAACGAUCUGUAGCUGGUCUGAGAGGACGACCAGCCACACUGGGACUGAGACACGGCCCAGACUCCUACGGGAGGCAGCAGUGGGGAAUUUUGGACAAUGGGCGCAAGCCUGAUCCAGCAAUGCCGCGUGCAGGAAGAAGGCCUUCGGGUUGUAAACUGCUUUUGUACGGAACGAAAAGGUUUGGGUUAAUACCCUGGGCCGAUGACGGUACCGUAAGAAUAAGCACCGGCCAACUACGUGCCAGCCGCCGCGGUAACAC
rnacentral:rRNA from 1 species